CCCUCUUCCUCCAAAGUCGGUCUGCGUUGUAGUGGAGAGAGCUCUAUCUCAUGAAACCUAGCAGAGCGUAUGAGAUUCAACUCCUCCAACUUCAGUCUAACCGACAAACAACACUAGAGGGCG
rnacentral:precursor_RNA from 10 species